rnacentral:rRNA from 1 species
GACGAACGCUGGCGGCGCGCCUAAUACAUGCAAGUCGAACGAGCUCGGACUUCGGUCCAUAUGAGCGAGUGGCGAACGGGUGAGUAACACGUGAGAAACCUGCCUCGGAGACCGGGACAACCGUUGGAAACGACGGCUAAUACCGGAUGUCCCCUUCUGGUCGCAUGACCGGAUGGGGAAACGAUCCGUCGCUCCGGGAGGGUCUCGCGGCCUAUCAGCUUGUUGGUGAGGUAACGGCUCACCAAGGCAUCGACGGGUAGCUGGUCUGAGAGGACGAUCAGCCACACUGGGACUGAGACACGGCCCAGACUCCUACGGGAGGCAGCAGUAGGGAAUCUUGCACAAUGGGCGAAAGCCUGAUGCAGCGACGCCGCGUGGGGGAUGAAUGCCUUCGGGUUGUAAACCCCUUUCAGUAGGGACGAAAAUGACGGUACCUACAGAAGAAGGUCCGGCCAACUACG